rnacentral:rRNA from 1 species
GACGAACGCUGGCGGCGUGCCUAAUACAUGCAAGUAGAACGCUGAAGAGAGGAGCUUGCUCUUCUUGGAUGAGUUGCGAACGGGUGAGUAACGCGUAGGUAACCUGCCUGGUAGCGGGGGAUAACUAUUGGAAACGAUAGCUAAUACCGCAUAAAAUUGAUUAUUGCAUGAUAAUUAAUUGAAAGAUGCAACUGCAUCACUACCAGAUGGACCUGCGCUGUAUUAGCUAGUUGGUGAGGUAACGGCUCACCAAGGCGACGAUACAUAGCCGACCUGAGAGGGUGAUCGGCCACACUGGGACUGAGACACGGCCCAGACUCCUACGGGAGGCAGCAGUAGGGAAUCUUCGGCAAUGGGGGGAGCCCUGACCGAGCAACGCCGCGUGAGUGAAGAAGGUUUUCGGAUCGUAAAGCUCUGUUGUAAGAGAAGAACGGGUGUGAGAGUGGAAAGUUCACACUGUGACGGUAUCUUACCAGAAAGGGACGGCUAACUACGUG